UCUAAAUUGUAUUAAAGGAUAUAAUGCGCAUGUAUGUGUGGGUCUUCAGAUGCAAUUGUGAGCUGAGAGAACAGUAUAAAAGCGCGAGUUCGUUCUAACUUAGAGCUUAGUGCAUAGAUUCUGGUCCACUGGUCCACUUGUGCUGAACAAAAUUUUUUUGAGGAAACGUUUUAAAAAAAGGUCAACUUUUUAUCGCCUAAGUUUGUGGUAUCGUUGUGGAGAGAGUGGGUUGUUGAAAUUCAAAAUGGGAUGACCAAGGGUUACCAUGGCGUGCAAGGCGCCCAAACUCAACAGUUAUGUUUUCUUUCUAUAAUUUCUAAUUUAUUGCUUUUGAAUUUGAAGCGUAUAACAGUUCGUACAGCCUAAUCAGUCGAGACCAUCCAAGCACAAAAAUUACUUAAUUACAUUUUUUGCGCUUCUUUUUUGUCCUUAAAAAAUCGUUGCUCUCGCUCAAAAAAAGACUUUGUGCGCAUUGCUGAAUUCAUUAUAAUUUCAAUUAUUAUUUAAUUCAAUUAAAUUUAGCAAAAACGAUAUGGAUAACUUUUGACCGUGUGUAAAUUGGACUACCCUACUAGAUGGAAAUGUGAAUCACAAUAACUAAAUUUAGCAAGUAAAGAGUGUGAAAAUAUACGUCAUUAUAUGUAUAUAUAACCUAUAAUCAAUUGAAGCUUACUACUUGUUGCAAAAUCACAUAAUACUAAAUUAUACUUUUAAAGUGUGAAUUAAAUAUUUUCCACAAGCCUAGAAUUGUAGAAUGUGAGAAUUAUAUAAAUAUAACUACAGACAUAGCUGUUUUUGAAAAAUA